UACAGAGGUCUCGAGCGUUAGGCGGAAUCACUGGGCUUAAAGCGUGUGUAGGUGGAUCGUUAAGUACCUUGUGAAAUCCCACGGCUUAACCGUGGAACUGCUUGGUAUACUGGCGGUCUUGAGCCACUUAGGGGCUACCGGAACAAAUGGUGGAGCGGUGAAAUGCGUAGAUAUCGGAAGGAACGCCGGUGGCGAAAGCGACGUGCUGGACCUCAACUGACGCUGAGGCGCGAAAGCCAGGGGAGCAAACGGG
rnacentral:rRNA from 1 species